GUUAACAACACAUCGGAAAGAUAUUGUUUUGAAAAAAAUAAACAAUUUUAAAAAUUAACACAACACAACUAACACAAACCAAAGAGAUUGCUCAUUGACUCUUGAGUUGGCAUUGACUCUUAACUCAUCUAUAUGUGAGACAUAGUCUAAGGACCUACACAAUAAUUUCAGUAUUACACCAGACACGCAAGAGUUAACAACACAGAGGAAAAAUAUUUUCUUAGUAAACAAUACACACUGGAUUGCCACACUAGCAUUUACAAAGAGUUUUCUCCACUAUUAAUGAGGUCCUAGCUCCACGACACAUCAUCACACUUUCAUUGAUCUAUGAAAUAACAGAGUUUGUUCCCCUUGACUCAACGCUUCUGAGAUGUCUGUGUCCCACACAACGUUCACCACACAUCGGAAAAAUAUUUUACAGAAUAACUUGCUCAAGAAUCUGCACACAAUGGUAAUAAAGUUCUAACCCCAUAUCUCAUCGUAACAUUCCAUACCACCUAUGGAAAUAACUUACCGCACACAACUUCACACAGAUACGUCAGUAAAGGUUACGCCCUUUUCUGUAAUUAGUUUGUAAGCUUAAAGUGUUCUAGUUUUAGUAUUUUAUAUGACGAUUUUUAUUUUAAUUCAAUUCACCGGUGGUGGUGCUGGUCCUGGUAUAAGCAUGGCCUAUUAACUCAUCCGUAUGUCAGACAUAGUCUAAGGUCCUACAAAAUAGUUUUAGUAUUUCGCCAGACAAAUGAAUAACAACAUAGUUGGCAGACACAACAGUUCACAACAGAUUGGAAAAAUAUUUUACCGGAUAGCUUGUGCAAGAAGCUGCAUACACUGGUAAUGAAGUUCUAACCUCAUAUCACAUCGUAAUACUUCCAUUGACCUAUGGAAAUACAUACAGAAAAGGUUUCGCCAUUUUCUAUAAUUAGUUUCUAAGCUUAAAGUGUCCUAGUUUUAGUAUAUUUUUAUAUUUUUUGCAAAAACGCUGAAAACCCAAAAAAAAAAAGAUGGAAAAUUGUAGGAAGAAAACAAUUCUCCGAGACGUUCUCCAAGGAUGGAGCAGCCUUUUAUUGCUGCUCUCCUGAUUCUACACACUGGUUCUGAUGACGCUACUGGAUGAGGGCGAGGUUCAAAGAGCGCUCCUACCUCAACUUACUCUACUGGUUCUAAUUCUACUGAUUCUACCAAUUCUACUGAUUCUACCAAUUCUACUGAUUCUACCAAUUCUACUGAUUCUACCAAUUCUACUGAUUCUACCAAUUCUACUGAUUACUUGCUUAACAAAUUAGAGGGCGAGAGGUGGCAUAAUACCUGGAUGGUGGUGAUCGAAGGAGAUGCAAGGCAAGAGUAUGCACCAAUAAUAUCCCAAUUCUAUGACAAUUCUUAUUUUAAUUCAUUUCACCGGUGGUGCUGCUGUCUUUCUAAUUGAAUGCAGGGAGAAAUUGAAUUUUUUGCUAAGGUUAUAUUUCUCUGACGUAUUAAGCGGGGCGAUCGGCGCUGGCUGAAAAAACGGUUUGGACCCUUUGACGAACGUUGUGGCUGCGAUUACGAAGACACGACAGGAGAUGGCGGCUCCUUCGUAGUGUCGGCGCCUUCAAAACUUGGCAGUUGUAUAAGCUCCUAAUAAAAGACAGCGUUCGUCAAUCAAAAUUUGCAGUGUAAAAUAAACAAAAUAAAAUGAAUAAAAAAAAUAA